AGCCAAACAUAAGUGAUAAAACUGUUUUUGGUCAGGUGGAAGCAUCACCAAUGGUACUUGGAGAACAAGCUUGCAUCUUUUAUUUUCAAAUAAAAACAGUAGGACAUCUCUGCCAGAGGGAAUUGUAACAGAUUUCCAAUAUCUAGGAAUGAUUGAUGAAGCCGAGAUUAGGAGGUGGCCUAACAUUAUUCUUUUGUGUUUUGGUAAGUCUUCAGGGAGGCAUUUAAGUAAGCAUAAUCCAGGAGUUAAAUCAACAUGGAACUCAGUGAUAGAUAUGAUCAUUUCUAAUAUUUUUUGCCAAUAGUUGGAUAGUUUCGGGCAUGACCAAAAAAUGUGGUAUAAAGUACCUAUCUCAAAAUUAAAUUAGAUGUGGAGAGGUGGAGUCGAAACAUCUUAAAUGGGGAGAAAUACCAGCGAUAAAUUAAUUUUACAUGAGAUUUUAAGUGGGAAAUGCAAUGUGUAAUGCCUAUCAAUGCAAGUAAUGAUUCAUGCCAUUCCUCCACUGUGAAUACCUCACCCAGAUCACUCUCCCACUUUGUCAUGUAUGGCAAUUUCAUGCCUCCGUCUCCUGCAAAAAAGGCAUAGCACAUGUAAAUGGUUUGUUUCUGACCAGGGUCUGAAAUUAAAACCUUUUCUAAAUUUGACAUUUCC